rnacentral:ncRNA from 1 species
UUUAUCCAGAAAGGUGGAGGGAUCAGGCCCUAAGAUACCUUAGCAACCAUCUCCGUACAAUGCGGUUCAAGGUGCUAAUUCCUGCUUCGAGUUUUUUAGAAGACUGAUAAG